rnacentral:rRNA from 1 species
GUCCAUGGCUAUCCUACCCCAAACAUACCUGAUCUUAUCUGACCUUAGAAGCUAAGCAGCGUAUGGCUUGGUUAGAAGUUGGAUGGGAGAACUAAGAAAAAGAAAAAGAAUGACU